rnacentral:rRNA from 1 species
UACGAGGGGGGCAAGCGUUGUUCGGAAUUAUUGGGCGUAAAGGGUGCGUAGGUGGUUCGGCAAGUCUUGUGUGAAAUCCCACAGCUCAACUGUGGAAGGGCCCCUGAUACUGGCCGUCUCGAGGGAGGUAGGGGCGUGUGGAACUUCCGGUGGAGCGGUGAAAUGCGUAGAUAUCGGAAGGAACGCCGGUGGCGAAAGCGACGCGCUGGACCUCUUCUGACGCUGAGGCGCGAAAGCCAGGGGAGCAAACGGG